UACAGAGGUCCCAAGCGUUGUUCGGAUUCAUUGGGCGGAAAGGGUGCGUAGGCGGCGCGGUAAGUCGGGUGUGAAAUCUCGGAGCUUAACUCCGAAACUGCAUUCGAUACUGCCGUGCUUGAGGACUGGAGAGGAGACUGGAAUUUACGGUGUAGCGGUGAAAUGCGUAGAUAUCGUAAGGAAGACCAGUGGCGAAGGCGGGUCUCUGGACAGUUCCUGACGCUGAGGCACGAAGGCCAGGGGAGCAAACGGG
rnacentral:rRNA from 1 species